rnacentral:rRNA from 1 species
UACAUGAAGCUGGAGUUGCAGUAAUCGCGGAUCAGCAUGCCGCGGUGAAUACGUCCCGGGCCUUGUACACACCGCCCGUCACACCAUGGAAGUCGGUAAUGCCCGAAGUCAGUAGCCUAACCGCAAGGAGGGCGCUGCCGAAGGCAGGAUUGAUGACUGGGGUGAAGUCGUAACAAGGUAAC